rnacentral:lncRNA from 1 species
GGACGGCCAUGUGCGCGGCGGAGAGGCCGGGUGGCCACCGAACCUUCCCGCCUGUUCUGCGGUGGGUAGGAGUUUGGAAACUAAUGUUCCUGUGCUAACCUUCGUGUCUCUGUGACAUGACUGUUGAAAGACGGAGAGUGCGGAAUCUUUGGAGUUUUAAGCUUGCCAACUGUGCGGCCUAGCAGAAUCCUGGGAGACGGAAGGACAGCCAAGAGGCUAGGAUUUACCUUUAAGUGUCCCUAGAUUCAACUAGGCAGACUGGGACGGGAGACGCUGUGAAGGUACCAGGGAAGGAACGAGGGCGUCUGGGCAUGGCUUUCCCAACCUAGUAACUGCAACUUUUAGCAUCCUACAUGUAGGACUUGGGAAUAUGUGAGACAGCGCCAAGAAUUUAAUCCAGGAGAAUUGACAAGCUUAAAUGAAAUCCAUAUUGCCCACUGAUUUUGUGCAGCUUCAGAUAAGUAAUCUUUCUCCACUUAGCCUUUUGUAACAAUUGAUGUAAUAAAGGUUUGUAGUCUUUGUGUAAUUUAUUAAAGCAUUGUGCCUAAAAUAGAAAAAAAGCAUAGGAACCAUAGGCUGUGUUUUCUUUUGAUUUAAUAUUUUCAUUUCUUCAGUUAAUAGAAAUUUGCCAAA